CUAGAUAGGAUAAAAGGGUGGAUGAAUUUAUGUGUGUUUCUUUUACAGGAGUAGAAGGAUGACAAAAUAUUCGAGGAUGAGUGAACCUUUAAAUGCCAUUUUUGUGUCUUGUGUUGUUUACAGAGGUAACUGCGCAGCGUUACCAUUUACAUUUUCUUCCCUACAGGGUUACAGUUUUAAUGUUUUUCUAUUACAGGAUUUCUGGGCGGAUGUGUGAAGAAACGGUGUUUAUGGGUUAGGAGUUGGGGAUGCUAUUACACUGUAUUCUGGUGAGAGUGUUGGGGGAGACACACCCUGUCUUGAAAACUGUGAUUCUUUUACAGGAAAUGUUUUAUAGCACCUAUGGAAUGAGGAUGCCUGACUACGGUCAAUGUGCUGCUAAUGUUUGCUUUGCUUUGGUGAGAGGGGUGCAGUAGAAAACAGACAAGUGACAUGAAAACAAGUAAUAAUAACAAAUAACAAAUUUGGGGACAGUUUGACCUAGAGCCCACUAACUGGCCAUUAGGGGCUCUCGCUCUCGCUCUCUCUCUCUCUCUCUCUCUCUCUCUCUCUCUCUCUCUCUUGGAAUAACAUUGCCCAAAGGGUGAAUAAAGCAAAUUGUGGCAAUAAUAGUGAUUUAAUGAUUGGAGAAACCUGAACAUGAUACUUGUCUGUUGUGCUGAAUCUUUUAUUACUCUUAUGAUUUGCAGGUGGGACCAUGAAGAUUUUUUGGUACAGAUUGCAGGUUGUUGCUCAUUAUUGAAGUGUGCUCAUAAAGGUAAAAGCUAUAUAGGGGGUCUAUCAUUUGGUCUGUGUUUUAAUAAUUUAGGUAUGGCUAAAUUAAAGGUUUCUAGACAAUUUAGGGAACGAGUGAGAAGCAUAAUUAGAUGAUCAGAAACGGAGUACUACACUCAAGUUAGAAUUAAGAAUGCCCAAUUUGUUUGAGGUCUGUUGUUCAUUUUAUACACACAUUGCAAAUGUGCUUAUAAGGAGCUGGCACUUAGUCUGUGAAGGUCAAAAGCUUCAUCCGACAACGGAUCGGAUUGAUAUAUUGGUGCUAUUGACUUCACGUGCAGAGGGUUAAAUGCAUGCACGCUUACACACAUAAGCAUGGCAUAGGAUUGGAAUAAACAAAGUCAACAACAUUAGGUUAGGAGAGCCAGCGCAGGGGAGGUGUUGGCUUUCUGUCUCUUGCAGAGAAGGGAACAGACGCCAGACGGGGACACGGAGAUAUGGGGACCCUUCACAGCAACUGGGGUCAAGUGUCAUGGCCUUGGGGCUCCUUGAUAAGAUGGAUCCCAUAACCACAGCGAUAACCAGGAAGGGGUUGGCGAAAACUAGGAACACCAGAGACCAACGUGGUUCGAGAGGCUUUUGGCAAAAAGGGGGACACGGCGGUGACAACGGACAACAAACACACAGAUUUGUGUAGCGACUGAAGGGUGGUCUAACCCCGGAAGACGAAGAAAGAAGAAUCCGAGGGCGUUUCUUCACUCCAAGAGGAGGUGGUAAAGGGGCCUGAAGCGUGUCAGGCUGAAACUCGAGUCCGAAGCUAAAAGAACAGCUGGGUUGUGGGAAAAUUGGAAAACAACGGAGGCGUUGGGAUUGAUAAGUGUCAUAACGUGUUUGUUUGGUUUGGAAAUAAAUCCUGGUGUGAGUUGGGCUGGCAAGCCAGCCCAAAGAGGAGGAAUGUGACCAGGAGAUAUUUUAUUUUGUAUUCUUAUGAUCACAGUUAUAAUCAGAAGUAUCAAUCAUUAAUCAUUUACCAUUGUUGAACCAGUUGACAGAAUAAUCUUUGAACCAUAUCUAUGUUAACAUUAAUCUACACAGAUUAUCAGUACUUUAAUCAGUCUAUUGUUGUUCUGUACUAUUCAUGUUAUUUGCUUAAAGCUGUUUCACAGUUCUGUAAUCACUCAGAAGCCUGUGGGGUCUUGCUGGACCCUGCCUUGGUUCUAUGUUCAGUUCUGCACGUACACAGGCCUUGAAAGUACAUGCACGCUCUUAUAUAACACAU
ensembl:lncRNA